UGGACUGACAGUCUCUCAGGUCUGCACUUC
rnacentral:piRNA from 1 species